GCGGCGGCAUCCUCCGGAGCCGCACGCGCCACCUUUGUUCUUUGUUUGUAUCACCUGAUCUCAAUCUGCUCUGAGCCUUUGGGACGGAGACAGAGGU
rfam:Desmospora sp. 8437 genomic scaffold SCAFFOLD1, whole genome shotgun sequence.